GGGCAUGUAGCCGACUGGGAAAGGCACUUGCUUCAAGAGCAAGCCGAGCGUGAUGCAGGUUCGAUUCCUGCCAUGCCCACCA
rnacentral:tRNA from 1 species